UACAGAGGGUGCGAGCGUUGUCCGGAAUCACUGGGCGUAAAGGGCGCGUAGGCGGUGACUUAAGCGUGCGGUGAAAGCUCGGGGCUCAACCCCGAGUCGGCCGUGCGAACUGGGUCACUUGAGCGUAUCAGAGGCAGGCGGAAUUCCGGGUGUGAGCGGUGGAAUGCGUAGAGAUCCGGAAGAACACCCGUGGCUAAGGCGGCUCUCUAGUACGGUACUGACGCUGAGACGCGAAAGCGUGGGGAGCGAACAGG
rnacentral:rRNA from 1 species